GAUGAAGAACGCAGCGAAAUGCGAUAAGUAGUGUGAAUUGCAGAAUUCAGUGAAUCAUCGAAUCUUUGAACGCACAUUGCGCCCCUUGGUAUUCCAUGGGGCAUGCCUGUUCGAGCGUCAUUUGUACCUUCAAGCUUUGCUUGGUGUUGGGUGUUUGUCCCUCGGGACUCGCCUUAAAGUCAUUGGCAGCCAGUGUUUUGGUUUUGAAGCGCAGCACAAGUCGCGAUUCAAGGCUAUCCGCCCGCUUCCACAAGCCUUUUUCACUUUUGACCUCGGAUCAGGUAGGGAUACCCGCUGAACUUAAGCAUAUCAAUAAGCGGAGGA
rnacentral:misc_RNA from 1 species